UACGGGGGGGGCAAGCGUUGUUCGGAAUUACUGGGCGUAAAGGGCGUGUAGGUGGUUCUGUAUGUCUACCGUGAAAGCGUACGGCUCAACCGUAUUUAGUCGGUAGAAACUGCAGGACUUGAGGCUGGGAGGGGCUGGUGGAAUUCCCCGUGUAGCGGUGAAAUGCGUAGAGAUGGGGGAGAACACUCGUGGCGAAGGCGGCCAGCUAGACCAGUUCUGACACUGAGGCGCGACAGCGUGGGGAGCAAACAGG
rnacentral:rRNA from 1 species